UUAGUUGCUCAAUAGAUGGUGUCAACACCGU
rnacentral:piRNA from 1 species